rnacentral:tRNA from 1 species
GCGCUGCAUGGCGCGGGUGCGGGCGUCUUUGCAUGAGACGCCGGGCGGAUGCGGCCGUACGACGCGGUUCGCAGCGCU